rnacentral:rRNA from 1 species
CACGUAGGAGACAAGCGUUAUCCGGAUUUACUGGGUGUAAAGCGCGUGCAGGCGGUUUUGUAAGUUGGAUGUGAAAGCUCCUGGCUUAACUGGGAGAGGUCGUUCAAGACUGCAAGACUAGAGUAUGUCAGAGGAGAGUGGAAUUCCGAGUGUAGCGGUAAAAUGCUUAGAUAUUCGGAAGAACACCAGUGGCGAAGGCGGCUCUCUGGGGCAUAACUGACGCUCAGACGCGAAAGCUAGGGUAGCAAACGGG